GCGCUGCCUUUGAGCUCCCAUUGUGCCUGCUCUGUGGCGCUGAGGGUUAAGGGUUAGCUUGACAGUGGCACAUAACUAGGUCAAGCUUAACUAGGGCGGCCUGGCUAUUGUGGGCGGUCCUUUUAAAAGAGCCUGACAUUG